rnacentral:rRNA from 1 species
UACGUAGGUGGCAAGCGUUUGUCCGGAUUUACUGGGCGUAAAGAGCGCGCAGGCGGUCGUUCAAGUCGCGUGUGAAAGCCCCCGGCUCAACUGGGGAGGGUCACGCGAUACUGAUCGACUCGAAGGCAGGAGAGGGUAGUGGAAUUCCCGGUGUAGUGGUGAAAUGCGUAGAUAUCGGGAGGAACACCAGUGGCGAAGGCGACUACCUGGCCUGUUCUUGACGCUGAGGCGCGAAAGCUAGGGAGCAAACGGG